UGAGGAGUACCUGUGUGUGUGUGUAUAUAUAUAUAUAUAUAUAUAUACAUAUAUAUAUAUAUAUAUAAAUAUAUACACAUACAUAUAUACACACACACACACAGGCACUCCUCA